rnacentral:rRNA from 1 species
CACGUAGGGCGCAAGCGUUGUCCGGAAUUAUUGGGCGUAAAGAGCUCGUAGGCGGUCUGUUGCGUCCGCUGUGAAAACUCGGGGCUUAACCCCGAGCCUGCAGUGGAUACGGGCAGACUAGAGGUAGGUAGGGGAGAAUGGAAUUCCCGGUGUAGCGGUGAAAUGCGCAGAUAUCGGGAGGAACACCGGUGGCGAAGGCGGCUCUCUGGGACGGUACUGACGCUGAGACGCGAAAGCGUGGGGAGCGAACAGG